GACAGAGGCCUCAAGCGUUUAGGCGGAAUCACUGGGCUUAAAGCGUGUGUAGGCGGAUCGUUAAGUGUCUUGUGAAAUCCCACGGCUCACCCGUGGAACUGCUGGGCAUACUGGCGAUCUUGGGCCAACUAGGGGCAACUGGAACAAGCGGUGGAGCGGUGAAAUGCGUAGAUAUCGCUUGGAACGCCAAAGGUGAAAACAGGUUGCUGGGGUUGUGCCGACGCUGGAGAACACGGAAAGCCAGGGGAGCAAACGGG
rnacentral:rRNA from 1 species